rnacentral:misc_RNA from 1 species
GCUCGAUAAUUAUUAUCAAAAUCACCGAAGGUAUGUCAAAAGUAGAAGUGAUCAGCAGCUCUUACAUGGACUAAAAUACAAUGACACAAGCUCCUGUAAACCUGAAGAGUCCAACAAUGGUCUUCCUAUUGUCCCUUGUGGGUUGAUAGCUUGGAGUUUGUUCAAUGACAUUUAUUCAUGGGACAGCAGAAUUGAGGGUUAACCGGAAGAACAUUGCAUGGAAAAGUGACCGUGACCACAAAUUUGGGAAGCAUGUAUAUCCCU